rnacentral:rRNA from 1 species
UAUGUGAUCGUCUCUCGCAUAUCAAUAAGCGGAGGAAAAGAAACUAACAAGGAUUCCCCUAGUAACGGCGAGUGAAGCGGGAAGAGCUCAAAUUUGAGAUCUUAAAGGGUUUCCCUUUACGAAUUGUAGUUUAAAGAAGUGUUUUCUGUUGAGGUUUUGGUGAAAGUUCUUUGGAAUAGGACAUCAUAGAGGGUGAGAAUCCCGUAUUUGACCUUUACUUUCAACUUUGUGAUACACUUUCAAAGAGUCGGAUUGUUUGGGAAUGCAGUCCAAAAUGGGUGGUAAAUUUCAUCUAAAGCUAAAUAUUGGCGAGAGACCGAUAGCGAACAAGUACCGUGAGGGAAAGAUGAAAAGAACUUUGAAAAGAGAGUUAAACAGUACGUGAAAUCGUCAAAAGGGAAGCGUUUGACACCAGUGUUGUUUUUCUGAAAAUCAAUUAAAGAACUGUUUAUGCUAAGCUGUUUAGACUUUAUCAGCUAUCUGUUUAGUUUUGAGCUUUUCUUUAAUGCACUUUUCAGUUAACAAGUCAACAUCAAUUUCUUUUGCUGUAAAAAAGCUUGAGGAAGGUGGCUUGAGAUUCGUCUUAAGUGUUUAUAGCCUCUUGCCUAUGCAGUCGGAGAGAUUGAGGUCUGCAGCGUAGAUCCUUCGGGGCUAAAUGCAUUUGUGCUAAGUUAUAGCAUUUUAUAGACAACUUGUUGACUAUGAUUUGUCUUGUAGCUUACUCGCUUAUGUUAUUUUACCUACGCUUAGGAUGUUGAUCUCUCACAGUCGAGC